GGCAACCCUGACGGAGCAACGCCGCGUGGGGGAGGAAUGUCUGUGGAUUGUAAACCCCUUUUCUCAGGGAAGAAGUUCUGACGGUACCUGAGGAAUCAGCAUCGGCUAACUCCGUGCCAGCAGCCGCGGUAAGACGGAGGAUGCAAGCGUUAUCCGGAAUUAUUGGGCGUAAAGCGUCCGUAGGUGGUUAUUCAAGUCUGCUGUCAAAGCGUGGGGCUUAACUCCAUAGAGGCAGUGGAAACUGAGUGACUAGAGUGCGGUAGGGGUCGAGGGAAUUCCCAGUGUAGCGGUGAAAUGCGUAGAUAUUGGGAAGAACACCAGUGGCGAAAGCGCUCGACUGGGCCUGCACUGACACUGAGGGACGAAAGCUAGGGGAGCG
rnacentral:rRNA from 1 species